UAGUCGGUGUACAGGUGGUGCAUGGCUGUCGUCAGCUCGUGUCGUGAGAUGUUGGGUUAAGUCCCGCAACGAGCGCAACCCUCGUCCUAUGUUGCCAGCAAUUCGGUUGGGGACUCAUAGGAGACUGCCGGGGUCAACUCGGAGGAAGGUGGGAAUGACGUCAAGUCAUCAUGCCCUUUAUGUCCAGGGCUUCACGCAUGCUACAAUGGCCGGUACAAAGGGCUGCGAUCCCGUGAGGGUGAGCGAAUCCCAAAAAGCCGGUCUCAGUUCGGAUUGGGGUCUGCAACUCGACCCCAUGAAGUCGGAGUCGCUAGUAAUCGCAGAUCAGCAACGCUGCGGUGAAUACGUUCCCGGGCCUUGUACACACCGCCCGUCA
rnacentral:rRNA from 1 species